rnacentral:rRNA from 1 species
AGUGAAGAAGGCUAUCAUUAUAAUAAAAGACAAGAAGACCCUAUAGAGCUUUUCUAACCUCUUUAAAUAAAAGAGAUUAAAUUUUGUUGGGGCGACAAGGGAAAAAAAAAAA